rnacentral:lncRNA from 1 species
AAAAAGCGAGUAUUGAAGAAGAAAAGAUUCAAACGCGUUAAGGUUUUUAUUUCUUUUUUCCUUUUUAUUUUCACUUUUUUUUGUACAUAUAAACAUUUUUUCUUUUUUUCUUUUCUUUCAAAAAUAGUAUACAUAUAUUUAGAUAUAGAAAUAAAAAAGAAAACAAAAAAUAAUACAUUUUUUAAAUUCUGGCCACUGCACACGGUGGCUGGCGACGGCGGCAAAGACGGCGCCGGUCCGGCGCCUGGGUACUGACUGGACCAUGG